rnacentral:rRNA from 1 species
UGCCAGCCGCCGCGGUAAUACAGAGGAUGCAAGCGUUAUCCGGAAUCACUGGGUUUAAAGGGUGCGUAGGCGGUAAUAUAAGUCAGAGGUGAAAGCCCGUCGCUUAACGAUGGAAUUGCCUUUGAUACUGUAUCACUUGAAUUAGGUUGAGGUAGGCGGAAUGUGGCAUGUAGCGGUGAAAUGCAUAGAUAUGCCAUAGAACACCAAUUGCGAAGGCAGCUUACUGGACCUUAAUUGACGCUGAGGCACGAAAGCGUGGGGAGCGAACAGGAUUAGAUA